GACGAACGCUGGCGGCGUGCCUAAUACAUGCAAGUAGAACGCACAGUUUAUACCGUAGCUUGCUACACCAUAGACUGUGAGUUGCGAACGGGUGAGUAACGCGUAGGUAACCUGCCUGGUAGCGGGGGAUAACUAUUGGAAACGAUAGCUAAUACCGCAUAAUAUUAAUUAUUGCAUGAUAAUUAAUUGAAAGGUGCAAUUGCACCACUACCAGAUGGACCUACGUUGUAUUAGCUAGUAGGUGAGGUAACGGCUCACCUAGGCGACGAUACAUAGCCGACCUGAGAGGGUGAUCGGCCACACUGGGACUGAGACACGGCCCAGACUCCUACGGGAGGCAGCAGUAGGGAAUCUUCGGCAAUGGACGAAAGUCUGACCGAGCAACGCCGCGUGAGUGAAGAAGGUUUUCGGAUCGUAAAGCUCUGUUGUAAGAGAAGAACGGGUGUGAGAGUGGAAAGUUCACACUGUGACGGUAUCUUACCAGAAAGGGACGGCUAACUACGUG
rnacentral:rRNA from 1 species